CCUCUUAUAGCAUUGUUAGUUGCAGGUGAAGUUGAAGUUUGCUCCAUGUUGGAUCAUGUUUAUGUUGGAAUAUCACCUCGUUUCCUGAUGAUCAGUAGUGGAGCCCAGUUGGGACGACCGGGGAUCUAGCAUUUGGGGUUGUCUUCUUUUAUUUUGGUUCCGUAGUCGGACCUUGAUUGUACUCUGGAUGAUGUAUGUUUAACUUGUUAUUUGUGUGAAGUGCCGAUUGUAUGCCAACUCUUUAUCCCUCUCUUAUUUAGUACAUGGUAUUGUGUGAAGAUUACCCCUCUUGCGACAAAACCACCAUGCGGUUAUGCCUCUAAGUCGUGCCUCGGCACGUGGGAGAUAUAGCCGCAUCGUGGGCGUUACAAGUUGGCAAUCAGAUCCAUCCCCGACUUAGGAGCCCCCUGCUUGAUCGAAUCGCUGACGUUGUUGAGUCUAGAACAAAAAUGUUUUGAGUCUUAGGAUUAUAUAUAUCGGAGAGUAGGAUUCUUUUUACUCCUUAGUCCCUUCGCCGCUCUGGUGAGGCCUCCUGACGUAGAUGUUUUGAUUUCCUCUCCUCAAAUUUCACUAAUUUUUUUAGGAUCAUGCGGGUAUUUUCAAAUCAUUCUGAUAUUCUUGUGAUGAGAACAUUGUUCUUAGUGCCUCCUGACUUUUAGGGGUUGUGGCAGUGUCCCGGGGAGUUGAGCUUCGAGGUGUUGUCAUCACAAUUUUAUCGUUGUAGUUCUGGAAUACCUGAGUUUGCCGACAUCGAAAAUCUCUUUUAUGCAGUUGUUGGUGAGAUAACCUCGACGCCACCCAGUACUGGGGUGGGAGUACGGGAGUAUUGCCAUAAUUUGUAUAACGAAUGCUUUUUGAAGGUUGAGAUACACGAUUUCCCGAAUUUUCUUGGUUAUGUGUUGACGGAUGGAUACAGCUGGAUGUAGGGAUUGUUUAGUUUGGGUGAGAUAUAUUGCUUCCCCUGUAUCCCCAACACCAGGUUGCAUAACUAGAAAGUUUCGGGAGUUUACAAGUGGGAAUGCAAGUAGCUCCUAGGAUAUCAUUCCAACAGAUCCAUGAUAUGAGAUUGGGGUUCGACGUCUAGUGGUCUGCCUGUCCACGGUUGGUUUUACAGUGGUCUUGUUGUGUCUUAAAGAGUCCUUGGCUAUGCUGACUCGGGGACGCUUCGUAUGACAUGUGCACUGCCUUGUACAUGAUGGUGAUGUACGAUCGAGCCCAUGCGGGCCCCACCUGGAAAAUUUCGGACAAAAUCUCUAUCAUAUGUUUGUUUCCGGCUUAUCCUAUAAGUCAAAUCCUUUGUUUUGUUUUGGUUUGUGGUAUUCGAGUUGCUUCGAAGUCAAGUGUUGAUUCCAUACCUUUCCUAAGCGAUGUUCUCAUAUUUUUAUGUGAAUACUAAUCCUUCUUGAUCAUUGAGAUUGUCAUGUUAAUUAUUUUCUAACCGGCGUGCUCCUCUUCAAGUGGAUCCGAUCAUUUUCAACAUCCGCAAGAUCAAUUCUAAGUUCACUCAACGGUGUUUGUUUCAUACGUCCCAGGUUGCCUUUGUUUUCCCGCCCUCCCACCCUUUUCUUUAAGGAUUCAGAUUUCUUGAUCAUGUGUCCUUUUAUUUGUGAGAAGUCUUUUCAGUCUUUUCUUUCAAUGUUUUACCUGGUGUUUCUUUUGAAGAUGCUAAGGGAGCUUCAACUUCAUCAUUCUUCGUUUUAUUUCUUCUCCGGUGGAUUCAGUUCAAGCUUUGUCGAUCAUAUCUUUUCCUUGUUUCAAAUGUUUUCUCAUGCCGGUGCACCUAUUAAUCAUCCACUUCUCGCCAUUCAUUGUUCUGGAGUUCUGAAGAUAUCUCAGGAGAUUCGUGUUUUAAUUCCUAAGCCGCUCAAGCUGUCUCAAGGUUGUUAUCUCUUUCAGCCAUUUAAUUCAACCGGCGAAGUCUCUCUUCUAAAUCGUUCAAUGGUGUAUCUUUGGAGUGAGCCUUAACCCACAGGACUUUUCCCACGAUCUUACCCGACUCUUCUAUUUUUCCAGAGUUAUUUCUCAAAUCUUUUUAAAGUUUGAUGUAAGAAUGAAGUAUCAUCAGUCAUAUUCCUUCUCCAAGAUCGCUUUCAAAACAUUGCCAUUGUUGGUUCAUCAUUUAUAUUCUCCAUUGUUCCGGGGUGGCUCAUCUUUUUCCAUAGUGUUUCUCGUCGCCAUUCUAGGAUUUUGAAGACCGAGGAAGAGUUUUUCCUCCAAAUCUUGGUCCGUUCUCUCGAAGAUGCGUAGUUCAAGCUUGAUGCCAUCCUCUCAUAAUUGUUUUGAUUGUGAGAAUUCUUUUCACCCAUGUAGAGCAAUCAGGAGUCUUUUCAGUUUGAUUCUUCGGAGCCCAUCAUCUUAGAAUUAUUCAUUCCAGCUUUCAGCUCUCGUUCUCCACAUCUUACCGGUGCAUCAUUCAAGUAUUCUCUAAUCAGCUUGGUAUCUCUUCGUUCACUUGUAUUUAAAUUCUCUCAAGCAUCUUUGUUCAUUUGCUAAUUCUUCCGGGUGUCUCGCUAUCUUUUCUUUGAUCAUUUUUAAUUCUUACGGUGGUUCGUCCAACAUUCCUCUUCCGUCGUUAUCGUAUCAAUGCAUUCAUGAUUUCCAAAUCCUACCGGUGGAUCAUUGAAGACCUUCUCAAGUUUACGCUAUGUCUCUCUUAAUCCUUUCUAUGAGAAUAAGUGGCAUGCCAAUUCUGUUGCUUGUUAUCAAUUGAAGUUGAUGAACGGUAAGCAUGACAUGAUUCUUAUCAUCGAGGUGAUUUAAUUCCUAUCAUUGGUGUUUCAUCCUUUUCUUUCCAGAGUCUCAAGCUAUCAAUUAUAUCAUCACGAAGAUCCAUCUAAAUCAUUGCAAGGAUUCACCUUGUGUUUUCAACUUAUCUUUCUUUCUAUCAUCCUUUAUUACCGGAGUUCUUCAUGGAGGCUCUGUAUGGUGACUCAUCAAGGAUUCCUUUCAUUCUUCAUUCGUUCUUCAACAUUUCUCUUGAAGUUAUGAUCCGUCAAGCUAUACUCAGAAUUAAACAGGGUGAUCAACAAACGUUUUGUUUCGAGGAGUUCAAGUAUUCUUCAUCUUGCAUUCUGAAAUGCAAUUCGUUAUACUUUAUCUUUCGAGGUGGUGUUAUGUUACUCUUGACAAAUUCCCUUUGUGUGUCAUGAUUCAACAGUUGUCAAGAAUGAGAUAGUUAAACCCAUCAAUUUCUUCGAGCAUUAGCUCUUCUCAAUCCAUCAAUCUCUUCGUUGGAGUUAUCUUGGGUUAUAUUUCACCUAAAGCCUUCCCUAAGGAAUUUUGCUAUUGUGGUGCUUAUCAAUAUUCCAAGUUUCCUCCUAUUCUCGCAAUAAAGAAAUUUUCAUCUCUUCGUUGCUCUCAAGCAAGCAAUUGAUUCCGUUAGUGGCAGAAUUUCACCUUAAGUUUUGGGAUGUUUUCCAUAAGUCCACAACAAGUUUAUUCUUUUCAUUGUUCAUUUCCCAACAACUCUGUCCAAUCCUCUAUGGAAGGAUACUUUCAAAUUCAUUCGAGGUACAAGAUGUUGUUUUCUUCUUUGAUACUUUCAGUCUGUUCUAUCUUUUGUUCCGGAGGCAUUGUGAUGUUGCACUCUUUGACACAUCAUUCCAUUUUUGUCAAAGAUCAUGUUUUUUCCCUUUGCUGCUCCAAUCAACCGGAGUGUGUGUCCUCCAUUCAAGUUCUCUCAUCUUAUCAAGUUUUGCCUCCCUUCUCAACUGGAGUGUUGUCUAAAAUCUUUCUUACUCCUUGUGCCAUUCUUUCAAUAGUUCCGGAGGCAGUGUGUUGUUGAUUUCAUCAAGUAUCCUCUCAUCUUGUAAAGUUCAUGUUCAAUCCCUUCCAUUUACAGUCGAAGUGUUGUCCAAAUUAUAUCAUUAUUAUUCCUUCCCUAUAUUCUUUUAACCAGAGUGUUGUGUCUAGCAUUCCUCUUUUAAUCGAAGUCUCAUCCAAGUGCUUUCAUUUUGCCAAGUUCAUAUUCUAUGCCUUCCAUUUUCAACCCGAGUGGUUUUAAAUUCUUUCUUUCCUCUUGAGCUCUUGUUUCACGUGUUUGCAACCUACAAGGUUCUCAUAAUGUUCCUUGUUCCUCUCGUCCAAUGUACUGUUUGCAAUCUUAUUCAUCCUUAAUGGUUUUCUUUCUUUCAAUUUGCUCAACCUCUCAAGGUUCGUGGUUUCACUCUUUUGUCAAGAAGCAACUUAGUUUUACCUCUUCCUCUUCCGCUUCUCUCCGGUGCCAUCCUAAGAUCUCGGGACGAGAUCUCUUGUAAGUGGAGGAGUGUUGUGACGCCCCGAGACCGACGCUCUAGACGCCUUCCAUGUUUUGCGUGACCACCAUGUUUUUUAUUAGUUUGUUGCAUUCAUCAUCGCAUCAUCUGCAUUGCAUCGGCACUCCAUUGCCGUCAUUGUUUUCGAACUUGCAUCCCCUCAUAGUUGCCGCGUCCCCCCUUGCUUUAGUUGACCGUUCUGAGACCAACCUUGUUCUUCCUUUUCCCUCUUGCCUAAACCGGAGUCUCUUUGCACAGUGCAUCGUCCCCUCACCCGUGUCCGAAACUUCCCCGAACCCGAACCAUACUAUCAUUACCGUUGGGUCCGGAUCAUCCCCAAACAUCCCUAAAUCAUCAUGGUUUCUCGUUGGACUCUCCUAAGCUAAUUAUUCUCGACUGUCCAUUAAAAUCGGAGGGACCAAAUGCCCCUAAACUUAGCCGGCUUGCUAUAUAUAGAUCAACCACUAGCCUAUUUUGCACAAACCCUAAAAUCUAGGGACAUUGUCCCAUCCACUCAUCGCCGCCGCCACAUCUCCUACCUCAGGAUCCAUCCCCAUCCAAUCAGUGUGCGCACCACCGAUCCAAAAAUCCUCUUGAUCUAUUCCCACCAACUAGUGCCUCCCUUUAUCCCCUCGUCCACCUCCUGCAGCCCCGAAUGCCUGAGGCCCCAACAGCCCGAGCACCGGCCGGCCACCGAAGCUCAUCUGCGUGCUCCUUCCUCGCUCGAUGUCGCCGGCGACCAGCUACUCCGCCUCCGGCAUUGUCCCACUCAUCCCGGACUCCUAUACACCCAGAGCUCUCCUAGCCGUUAGCCUCCUCCUCAUCCGAGUGGAGCCCCGUCCUCCUGAGCUCUCCCGCAGGCUAGCCCCGCACCACCCCAUCUCUACUUCCUCCCUCCCGUGGCUCUCUUUUUUAUGUAAUAUCUCCGUCUCUUGUUCUACAACCAUCGCCGUGGGAGCCAAGCUCCAAGCUCCGCCAUCGGUGUAUCCCACCUCCAUCCCGGCGCUGGGAACGGAAGCCCCGCACCUGGAUCUCGCCGCAGUGUCACCCGACCUUGCCGUCUGUUGGCCUCCCGCAGCCCUCUGCCGUGCAUGCUGCCGCUACAAGCUUCUGCCGUCGGCCUCUGUUUGGUCUGCACGAGCAGAUGAGCUUGUCCAUCCCGAACGUCGUGGUCAUCCCCUGCAUCAAGCCCCACCACCUCCUGCUAUUUUCCUUCCUCGCCGUCGCCGCGCCAAGUCCCGCUGCCUCCCCGCCAUUGACCUUCAGUGCCGCCGGUCUGCCACUGUCAAGCAGAGAAUGAGCAGCAGCGGCUAGCCCGCUCGUCUGCGUUGACCGUGCCUGGCCAACUGCGUGGGCUGUAGCCCCACCAGCCUACCUCUCCACCGACCAGGUCAAGCCCAAUGUGAGCAUCCGCCCAGCCCCGUUGACUGUGCACUAUUGGGCCAACUACUUUCGGGCCAACUUCUGUUUUUUUAACGGACGAAUUUAGCUUUUAUCCAGUGUUUUACGGUUUUGUAGAAAACCCCUCCAUCUUCAUGCAUAUAAUAACUUAAUAACCAUGCAUAUUUUGUAAAAACAUUUUAUAUGUAACUUGCUUAGAAUUUUGCCUAGUUUCAUAAUAUGCCACUUUCAUCCUUGUUAAAAAUGUUUAAAAUGUUGUUUGUUUAAUUUUGCACAAAUGGAAUGCUAAAAUGGUUUAUUACAUAACUAAAUAAUCGUAGCUCCAAAUGAAAUGUUUUAUAUAUGUAACUUGCUUCAAAAAAAAUGCAUAGAUUAACAUGGUGGCAUUACUUUGCAUGUUUAACAACUCUAAAAUAUGAUUUAGGGCAGAACAGUACCAAAUCCAUAAAUUGCAUAUGAGGUUUUUCCGGAAUUGUUGUUUGUUAUUUCCAGCCUCAUUUAAACUUGCCUAAAUAGUUAGUUUACUUUUGCCUCACCUCUUUCCAUGUUAACCAACAUUUAAUUUUGUUGAGUACCUAAACGUGAGUGAACUAAAUAACCGAAUGUGGUGUUUCGUUGCAUAUUGAGCUCCACUUAAUUUGUAGUGUUGUUUGUUGCACUUUGCCAUGCCAUGCAUCAUUAAACCAGACAUGCAUCAUACUUGUUUGUGCAUCAUGCCAUGAUUAAUCUUGUGUCUUUAUCAUGUUGCUUGUUUCUUUCUGGUUUGCUUCUCUUGUUAGCUUCAGUUUCGUUCUGGAGUUGUGAAGAUCCGUUCGACUACGUCUGUUUGUCUUCUUCAUGGACUCGUUCUUUUCCUUGCGGGGUCUCAGGCAAGAUGACCAUACCUUCGAUAUCACUUCUAUCUUUGCUUGCUAGUAGUUCGCUCUAUCGCUAUGCCGCGCUACCUACCACUUGUUUAUCAUGCCUCCCAUAUUGCCAUGUCAAGCCUCUAGCCCACCUUCCUAGCAAACCGUUGUUUGGCUAUGUUACCGGUUUUGCUCAUCCCCUCUUAUAGCGUUGUUAGUUGCAGGUGAAGUUGAAGUUUGAUCCAUGUUGGAUCAUGUUUAUGUUGGGAUAUCACAAUAUCUCUUAUUUUAAUUAAUGCAUCUAUAUACUUGGUAAAGGGUGGAAGGCUCGGCCUUAUGCCUGGUGUUUUGUUCCACUCUUGCCGCCUUAGUUUCCGUCAUACAGGUGUUAUGUUCCUUGAUUUUGUAUUCCUUACGUGGUUGGGGUUAUGGGACCCCCUUGACAGUUUGCUUUGAAUAAAACUCCUCCAGCAAGGCCCAACGUUGGUUUUAACAUUUUCCACCUAAGCCUUUUCCCUUGGGUUCUGCAGACUCAAGGGUCAUCUUUAUUUUAACCCCCCCCUCCCCAGGCCAGUGCUCCUUUGAGUGUUGGUCCAAACUAGAGCCCUUUGCAACACCACCUCGGGGAAAUUUGAGGGCUGGUUUUAGUUGUACGGAUUGCUCAUCUGGUGUGCCCUGAGAACGAGAUAUGUGCAUCUCCUAUCAGGAUUUGUCGGCACAUUCGGGCGGUCUUACUAGUCUUGUUUUACCAUUGCCAAAAUGUCCUGUAACCGGGAUUCCGAGACUGAUUGGGUCUUUUCGGGAGAAGGAAUAUCCUUCAUUGAUCAUGAGAGCUUGUAAUGGGCUAAGUUGGGCACCCCUGCAGGGCAUAAACUUUCGAGAGUCGUGCCCGUGGUUAUGUGGCAGAUGGGAAUUUGUUAAUAUCCGGUUGUAGAGAACUUGACACUUGACUUAAUUAAAAUGCAUCAACCGCGUGUGUAGCCGUGAUGGUAUCUUUUUGGCGGAGUCCGGGAAGUGAACAUGGUUUGGGUUAUGUUUGAACAAGUAGUUCAGGAUCACUUCUGGAUCACUUCUAGCUUACGACUGUUGCAUAGCUUCUCAUCUUACUCUUAUUUGCAUAUGUUAGCCACCAUAUUUGCUUAGCGCUUGCUGCAGCUCCACCUCAUUACCUUAUCCUACCCAUAAGUUUAAAUAGUCUUGACCUCGCGGGUGUGAGAUUGUUGAGUCCUCGUGACUCACGGAUACUUCCAAACAGUUGCAGGUGCCGAUGAUACCAGUGCACGUGAUGCAACCGAGCUCAAGUGGAGUUCGAUGAGGACCUUGGUCGUUACCAUGUUUCGUUUCCUGAUGAUCAGUAGUGGAGCCCAGUUGGGACAAUCGGGGAUCUAGCAUUUGGGGUUGUCUUCUUUUAUUUUGGUUCCGUAGUCGGAUCUUGAUUAUACUCUGGAUGAUGUAUGUUUAACUUGUUAUUUGUGUGAAGUGGAGAUUGUAAGCCAACUCUUUAUCCCUCUCUUAUUCAGUACAUGGAAUUGUGUGAAUAUUACCCCUCUUGCGACAAAACCACCAUGCGGUCAUGCCUCUAAGUCGUGCCUCGACACGUGCGAGAUAUAGCCGCAUCGUGGGCGUUACAAGUUGGUAAUCAGAGCCAUCCCCGACUUAGGAGCCCCCUGCUUGAUCGAAUCACUGACGUUGUUGAGUCUAGAACAAAAAUGUUUUGAGUCUUAGGAUUAUAUAUAUCGGAGAGUAGGAUUAUUUUUACUCCCCAGUCCCUUUGUCGCUCUGGCGAGGCCUCCUGACGUAGAUGUUUUGACUUUCCUCUCCUCAAAUUUCACUAAAAAAUUUCAGGAUCACGCGGGUAUUUUCGAAUCAUUCCGAUAUUCUUGUGACGAGAACAUUGUUCUUGGUGCCUCUUGACAUUUAGGGGUUGUGGCAGUGUCCUGGGGAGUUGAGCUCCGAGGUGUUGUCGGCACAAUUUUAUCGUUGCAGUUCUGGAAUACCUGAGUUUGCCGACAUCGAAAAUCUCUUUUAUGCAGUCGUUGGCGAGCUAACCUCGACGCCACCCAGUACUGGGGUGGUAGUUCGGGAGUACUGCCAUAACUUGUAUAAUGGAUGCUUUUCGAAGGUUGAGGUACACGAUUUCCGAAGUUUUCUUGGUUAUGUGUUGACGGAUGGAUACAGCUGGAUGUAGGGAUUGUUUAGUUUGGGUGAGAUAUAUUGCUUCCCCUGUAUCCCCAACACCAGAUUGCAUAACCAGAAAGUUUCGGGAGUUUAUAAGUGGGAAUUCAAGUAGCUCCUAGGAUAUCUUUCUGACAGAUGCAUGAUAUGAGAUUGGGGUUCGACGUCUAGUGGUCCGCCUGUCCACAGUUGGUUUUACAGUGGUCUCGUUGUGUCCUAAAGUGUUCUUGGCUAUGCUGACUAGGGGACGCUUGAUACUUCUCCGUCGUAUCUACUUUUCCAAACACUUUUGCCCUGGUUUUGGUCUCUAACUUGCAUGAUUUGAAUGGAACUAACCCGAACUGACGUUGUUUUCAAUAGAACUGCCAUGGUGUUAUUUUUGUGCAGAAAUAAAAUUUCUCGGAAUGACCUGAAAAUCAACCAAGAAUUAUUUUGGAAUAUAUCAAAAAAUAUUGGAAGAAGAGUCCACGUUAGGGGGCCCUCCACCUGUCCACGAGGGUGGGGGCGCGCCCUACCCCCCUGGGCGCGCCCCUGCCUCGUGGGCCCCCUGACGCUCCACAGACCUCAACUCCAACUCUAUAUAUUCGCGUUUGGGGAGAAAAAAAUUAGAGAGAAGGAUUCAUCGCGUUUUACGAUACGGAGCCACCGCCAAGCCCUAAACUCUCUUGGGAGGGCUGAUCUGGAGUCCGUUCGGGGCUCCGGAGAGGGGAAUCCAUCGCCAUCGUCAUCAUCAACCUUCCUCCAUGACCAAUUUCAUGAUGCUCACUGCUGUGUGUGAGUAAUUCCAUCAUAGGCUUGCUGGACGGUGAUGGGUUGGAUGAGAUUUAUCAUGUAAUCGAGUUAGUUUUGUUAGGGUUUGAUCCCUAGUAUCCACUAUGUUCUGAGAUUGAUAUUGCUAUGACUUUGCUAUUCUUAAUGCUUGUCACUAGGGCGUGAGUGCCAUGAUUUCAGAUCUGAACCUAUUAUCUUUUCAUCAAUAUAUGAGAGUUCUUGAUCCUAUCUUGCAAGUCUAUAGUCACCUAUUAUGUGUUAUGAUCCAUUAACCCCGAAGUGACAAUAAUUGGGAUACUUACCAAUGAAGACCGUAAUUUGAGGAGUUCAUGUAUUCACUAUGUGUUAAUGCUUUGAUCCGGUACUCUAUUAAAAGGAGGCCUUAAUAUCCCCUGCCACGAGAGGACCCCGCUGCCACGAGAGGGUAGGACAAAAGAUGUUAUGCAAGUUCUUUUCCAUAAGCACGUAUGACUAUAUUCGGAAUACAUGCCUACAUUACAUUGAUGAACUGGAACUAGUUUUGUGUCACCCUAGGUUAUGACUGUUACAUGAUCGAUCACAUGUGGCAUAAUUCUCCAUCACCGAUCCAAUGCCUACGAGCUUUUCAUAUAUUGUUCUUCACCCAUUUACUUUUUCGUUGCUACUGUUACCAUCACAAUAAAACCCAAAAAUAUUACUUUUGCUACCGUUACUUUUGCCAUCGUUACCACUACUAUCAUAUUACUUUGCUACUAAAUACCUUGCUGCAGAUAUUAAGUUUCCAGGUGUGGUUGAAUUGACAACUCAACUACUAAUACUUGAGAACAUUCUUUGGCUCCCUUUGUGUCGAAUCAAUAAAUUUGGGUUGAUUACUCUACCCUCGAAAACUGUUGCGAUCCCCUAUACUUGUGGGUUAUCAAGACUAUUUUCUGGUGCCGUUGCCAGGGAGAAUAGCUCUAUUCUUUGAGUCACUUGGGAUUUAUAUCUGCUUAUCAUUAUGAAGAACUUGAAAGAUCAAAGAACCAAGAUUUUUCCCUCAACUACGAGGGGAGGUAAGGAACUGCCAUCUAGCUCUGCACUUGAUUCACCUUCUGUUUUGAGUAAACUUGCGACACCUAAACCUGCUUCUGCUAUUAAUUCUGAUAUGUCACAUGUUAUUGAUGAUGCCACUUCUACUAUGCAUGAUACUUAUGAUGAAACUACUUCUAUGCUUGAUACUACUAUGCCACUUGGUGAAUUUCUUGAUGAACAACUUGCUAGGGCUAGAGAGAAUGAAAUUAUUGAAACUGGUAAUAUUGAUGAAAGUGAUUAUGAAGAUUCUCCCCCUAGAUAUGAAUUACAUGUUGUUCCUGAGGGUUAUGUUAUGGAUGAAGAAACUGCUAGAGACUUUCUUGCUUGCAAUGAUAGGAGUGAUCUUAAGAAACUAUUAGCUAAGCUGAAACAAAAAUCUCUGAAUGCUAGAAUGAAAUAUGAUCCUGCUUAUGCUACUUCACCUAUCUUUGUUACUGAUAACGAUUAUGAAUUCUCUGUUGACCCUGAUAUAAUUACUUUGGUUGAAUCUGAUCCUUUCUAUGGCUAUGAAUCUGAAACUGUUGUGGCACAUCUUACUAAAUUAAAUGAUAUAGCCACCCUGUUCACUAAUGAUGAGAAAACUUGCUACUAUUAUAUCCUUAAAUUAUUUCCGUUCUCAUUAAAGGGUGAUGCUAAGAUAUGGUUUAAUUCUCUUGAUCCUGGUUGUGUGCGUAGUCCCCAGGGUAUGAUUUAGUACUUCUCUGCUAAAUAUUUCCCCACUCAUAAGAAACAAGCCGCUUUAAGGGAAAUAUAUAAUUUUGUGCAAAUUGAAGAAGAGAGUCUCCCACAAGCUUGGGGGAGGCUUCUCCGAUUACUUAAUGCUUUGCCUGAUCAUCCUCUCAAGAAAAAUGAAAUACUUGAUAUCUUUCAUAAUGGACUAACCGAUGCUUCCAGAGAUUACCUGGAUAGUUGUGCUGGUUGUGUUUUCAGGGAAAGAACUGUUGAUCAAGCUAAAAUUCUAUUGAAUAAUAUGUUGACUAAUGAAAAUAAUUGGACACUUCCUGAACCAACUCCUAAGCCAACUCUGAAGAAAAGGGGUAUUCUAUUUCUCAGUCCUGAAGAUAUGCAAGAGGCAAAGAAAUCUAUGAAAGAAAAAGGUAUUAAAGCUGAAGAUGUUAAGAGUUUACCUCCUAUUGAAGAAAUACAUGGUCUUAAUUUGCCGCCUGUUGAAGAAAUACAUGGUCUUGAUAACCCUACACAGGUAGUAAAGGUAAAUUCUCUCAAUAGAUUUGAUGAAGGUGAUAUUCCUCAUUAUAAGUCUGCUAGCCAAUGCUUAGAUGAGUUUGAUAAUUUUAUUGUUAAACAAGAGAACUUCAAUGCUUAUGUUGGUAGACAAUUGAAACAUAAUGCUUUUAUGAUUGAACACUUGAGUGAUUAUAUCGCUAAUGUUAAAGGUGAACUUAAACUUAUUAGUAAACAUGCUUCUAUGGUUACCACUCAAGUAGAACAAGUACUUAAAGCUCAGAAUGAUUUGCUCAAUGAAUUAAAUAGUAAGAAGAAUGAUAAUGCUGUUAGAGUUAUGACUAGAGGAGGUAAAAUGACUCAGGAACCUUUGUAUCCUGAGGGCCAUCCGAAGAGAAUUGAGCAAGAUUCUCAGAGAACUAAUGUAGAUGCACCUAGUCCUUCUAAAAGGAAGAAAAAGAAAAAUGAUAGGACUUUGCAUGCUUCUAGUGAACCUGUUAUUGACACACCUGAGAAUCCCAAUGAUAUUUCUAUUUCUGAUGCUGAAACACAAUCUGGUAAUGAAUAUGAACCUAGUGAUAAUGUUAAUGAUGAUGUUCAUGUUGAUGCUCAACCUAGCAAUAAUAAUGAUGUAGAAAUUGAACCUGCUAUUGAUCUUGAUAACCCACAAUCAAAGAAUCAAUGUUAUGAUAAGAGAGACUUUGUUGCUAGGAAGCACGGUAAAGAAAGAGAACCAUGGGUUCAGAAACCCAUGCCUUUUGCUCCUAAACCAUCCAAGAAAAAGGAUGGUGAGGAUUUUGAGCGCUUUGCUGAAAUGAUUAGACCUAUAUUUUUGCGUAUGCGUUUGACUGAUAUGCUUAAAAUGAAUCCUUAUGCUAAAUAUAUGAAGGAAAUUGUUACUAAUAAAAGAAAGAUACAGGAAGCUAAAAUUUCCACCAUGCUUGCUAAUUAGACUUUUAAGGGUGGAAUACCAAAGAAACUUGGAGAUCCAGGAGUACCAACUAUACCAUGCUCCAUUAAAAGAAACUAUGUUAAAACUGCUUUAUGUGAUCUUGGAGCCGGUGUUAGUGUUAUGCCUCUCUCUUUAUAUCGUAGACUUGAUUUGAAUAAGUUGACACCUACCGAAAUAUCUUUGCAAAUGGCUGAUAAAUCAACUGCUAUACUAGUCAGUAUUUGUGAGGAUGUGCCUAUUGUGGUUGCAAACGUUACUAUUUUAACGGACUUUGUUAUUCUUGAUAUUCCCGAGGACGAUAGUAUGUCUAUUAUUCUUGGAAGACCCUUUUUGAAUACUGCAGGGGCUGUUAUUGAUUGCACCAAAGGCAACGUCACUUUUGAUGUUAAUGGUAAUGAUCAUAUGGUACACUUUUCGAGGAAACAACCUCAAGUCCACAGUAUCAAUUCUAUUGGAAAAAUUUCAACAAUCACUAUUGUAGGUUUUGAAUUUCCUCUACCUACUGUCAAGAAGAAAUAUGAUAUUCUUAUUAUUGGGGAUGUGCAUAUCCCCGUCGAGGUAACCUAAUGUUAUUCAAAAGUUCUCCAGUUUCAUGUUAUUCGAAUUGAGUUUGUUAACAAGACCUGAUCGACCUUGUUAGUGGAUUUCUUUUUAUGAGCAUGAGAUGGAUGAAUUUAGAAAACACAACUCUCUAUACCCUCUUUUUACUUUCUGUUAUUUAUAUUAAAUAAAGCAAAAACAAUAUUUUCCGUCUGUUUCCUGAAUUAUUCAUGCAGUAAAAAUACCCCGAAAAUAAAAGUUCUCCAAAUGCCCUGAAAAUUAAAUAUGAUUUUUUUCUGGAAUAUUUGAGAAUAUCUGGCACUAAGAACACAACAUGGGGAGCAAGCACCUGGCCACGAGGGUCCAGGGCGCGUCCACCCCCCUGGGCGUGCCCCUGCCUCGUGGGCCCAUGGUGGCUCCCCUCCACUUAUUCCAGCUACCACACACUCUUUCUUCCUCCCACAAACAUCACUAACAAGCUCAAGCACGAGUUCAAGCUCAUCUUGCUGCCAUUUUCAAUCUCUUAGCUCAAAGCUCCAUCACAAAACUGCUUUGGGGGAUUGUUCUUUGGUAUGUGACUCCUCCAAUGGUCCAAUUAGUUUUUGUUCUAGUGCUUUAUUCAUUGCAUAUUUUUGCUGCUUAGGUGACCCUGUUCUUGAGCUUGCAUGUCAAAUUUAUAUGGUCAAAAGUAGUUUUAAUGCAUGAUAUUGCCUCUAGGCACUUGUAGGAGUAGUUGCUAUCAAUAUUGUUGAGUUUGGUUCACUUUUAUUUUGAAGUUACUAAAAAUUUCAGAUAUUUUCAGAAAAAGAUGAAGAGAUUUUUGAGGGGCUCAUCGAGCCGAAGCUCGAAGGAUAAGAAAAGUGAGGAGGAUAAGAGGCCCAAAUAUAAUCUCCCUCGAACCGAAAAAGUUCGGCCGUGUGAAUGGCCUUGUGAUAAUUUCUUGAGAGCAGCCGUGAUUUAUGAUGAUUUUUAUGAGUUGGCUGAGAAUGCAGGCCUCACCGCCUUCCUCCACGACCAAUGCGAAUAGUAUCUCUUACUCACCAAUACCUUUGUGAAAAACUUUCAUUUCCAUGCUAGGAGCUCACCACCUUCGGUGGAAUUUUAUUUAUAUGAUGAGCAUAACGAGAUGUCACUUCGUGACUUUUGUUGGAUUUGUUUGAUCCCUUUUGAGGGCAGUGUAGAGAAACCACAUCGUGAUGAUGUGGAAGGGUUUAUUGAUACAAUGGCUGUAGGGGAAACGAGGAAAGUUUCCGAUGCAAGAAUUACUAGCAUACAUUUUUCUAUUUUACAUUACUUUGCAAUAUUUGCUAGUAGAUGCUUAAUUGCUCGUGGAAACUAUGGCAACCUUAGUGCCCCUGACAUUGUUAUUUUGUGCCAUGCCUUGUUCCAUGAUGACACAUUUAGUAUGGGCGCUAUUGUUGCAAAGCGAUUAAAUCUUAACCGUACUAAGGGCCCCAUCUUGGGAGGUUUCUUUGCCUCAUGCCUCGCUGCACAUUUUAAUAUACCUAUUAGGCAUUAUGAGAAGGAAGAGAAGUUGAUGCCUCCUGUUUUUCUAGACUAUAAGAGUAUGGUAGCACAUGAUUUUAUUGUUAAGAAUAAGGAACAGAUGCUUAAGUACAAGCUAAUAUUUGAUAAGAAUCACCCUGAGACUAUUACUUUGCCUGCUCCUUCCGUGUUUGACUUAUCUGCAGGCAAGUAUCUUGUUCCGCCAGAGGCCAUUUACGCCUACCGAAACCCCACAUCAGCUAUAGAGCCAGAGUCGGAAUCACAAUUUGAUCCUCACCGGCAGUCUAUUUAUCAGUGGAAUCCGGAGGAGAUUGCCAACCAGUGGCACCAGGGGGAUCCUUCUCAGUACGACCCGAGCUAUAACUUUGGAUAUUCGCUAGGCCAGCCGUGGCCAUAGACCAACUUAGGCCAAAAGCCUAAGCUUGGGGGAGUACGUAUGUCUCGCCGACAUUACAUUCAUGUUCACACACUCAUGCUAGUUGUCGGUGCUCAUACUUUUUCAUUGUAAUGUCCAUGCUAGUUUAUUUUCCUUUUUAUGCUUUCAUCUUGUGUGUUUGAUAAACCUUAAGAAAAACCAAAAAAAAUUAGUUGUAGCUUUUAUCUAGUUUACUUUCUUGCUUGUAGUAGUAACUAAAAUAAAACCCAAAAAGAUUUCAUGUUAUUCUUUUUCUUGUUGGGAGCUCUCUCGUGUAAAUAGUUUUACUUCUUUUCUUUUCUUUGGGGUUCGAUAGGAGAAGACCAUGAUUAAAAUGUUGAGUGGCUCUCAUAUGCAUUAUUGUUGAUCUAACCAAGAGACCAUAUUACCUUGUCUUCUCUCUUGAAUUGAAUGCUUGCAGAUUCCAGCUUAGUCCAAUGCACGUGCACUAUUAUUAUUAUCCACACUAUUCGAUCGUGCAAGUGAAAGGCAAUAUUGAUGAUUAUAUGAUGAACUUAUUGAGAUGAGAAAAGCUGGUAUGAACUCGACCUCUCUUGUUUUUGUAAAUAUGAUUAGUUCAUCGUUCCUGAUUCAUCCUAUUAUGAAUAGACAUGCUUGCAAUGACAAUUAGAGAUUAUAGUUGCUUAUGCCAUGCUUAAUUAGCUAGGAGCUUAUAAUGGUUUACCUUGCAUGCCAACAUGCUAUUAAAAUGGUUGUGAUGUGGUAUGAUAGGGUGGUAUCCUCUUUUGAAUUAUUCAAGUGGCUUGACUUGGCACAUGCUCAUGCAUGUAGUUGAAACAAAAUCAAUAGAGCCUCUAUGAUAUCUAGGUUCAUGGUGCAUUAUAUCCUACUCAUGCUUGCAUUUGGUGUUGAUUAAUUUUAAUGCAUGUUCAUGACUGUUGUCGCUCUCUAGCUAGUCGCUUCCCAGUCUUUUUCUAUCCUUCACUUGUACUAAGCGGGAAUAUUGCUUGUUCAUCCAAUUCCAUAAACCCCAAAGUUAUUCCAUAUGAGUCCACCAUACCUGCCUAUACACGGUAUCUACCUGUCGUUCCAAGUAAAUUUGUAUGUGCCAAACUCUAAACCUUCAAAUAAACAUUCUGUUUUGUAUACUCGAAUAGCUCAUGUAUCAACUAGGGUUGUCUAUAUCUUCCAUGCUAGGAGGGUUAUUCUCAAGAGGAGUGGACUCCGCUCCUCACUCACAAGAAAAUGGCUGGUCACUGGGAUGCCUAGUCCCAUGCUUUAUGCAAAUCAAAUCAAAAUAACUGCAAACAAAACUCCCCCGGGACUCUUGUUAGUUGGAGGCACUCGUUGUUUCGAGCAAGCCAUGGAUUGCAGCUUGUUGGUGGAGGGGGAGUAUAAACUUUACCAUUCUGUUUGAGAACCGCCUACAAUGUGUGUAGCAUGGAAGAUACCGAGAUCUCUCGGUUGUUAUGUUGACAAUGAAAGUAUACCGCUCAGAAUAUUAUUCAUAUCUAUUUCAAAACCGAGCUCUGGCACCUCUACAAAUCCCUGCUUCCCUCUGCGAAGGGCCUAUCUAUUUACUUUUAUGUUGAGUCAUCAUCCUCUUAUUAAAAAGCACCAGUUGGAGAGCACCGCUGUCAUUUGCAUCCAUUAUUGUUAGUUUACAUCGAUUAUGACUUGACUGGAUCUCUUUUACCAUGAAUUACAAUGUCUAGUCAGUCCUUGAUCUUUAAAGGUUCUCUGCAUUUAUGUUUUGUGGUAUCAGAAAGGGCUAGCGAGAUACCAUUCUGUUAUCUCAUAUUAUGAUUUUUUUGAGAAAGUGUUGUCAUCCAAGAUUUAUUAUUAUUGCUCGCUAGUUGAUUAUGCCAUUGAUAUGAGUAAACAUGAGACCUAAGUGUUAUUGUGAAUAUGGUUAGUUCAUAAUCUUUGCUGAAAACUUGAAUGCUGGCUUUACAUAUUUACAACAACAAGAGCAAACAGAGUUUGUAAAAGUUUUUCUUUAUCACUUUCAGUUUAUCAACUGAAUUGCUUGAGGACAAUCAAAGGUUGAAGCUUGGGGGACUUGAUACAUCUCUGUCGUAUCUAGUUUUCCAAACACUUUUGCCCUUGUUUUGGACUCUAACUUGCAUGAUUUGAAUGGAACUAACCCGGACUGACGCUGUUUUCAGCAGAAUUGCCAUGGUGUUAUUUUUGUGCAGAAAUAAAAGUUCUCGGAAUGACCUGAAAAUCAACGGAGAAUUAUUUUGGAAUAUAUAAAAAAUACUGGAAGAAGAAUCCAUGUCAGGGGGGCCUCCACCUGUCCACGAGGGUGGGGGCGCGCCCUACCCCCUGGGCGCGCCCCCUGCCUCGUGGGCCCCCUGACGCUCCACCGAUCUCAACUCCAACUCUAUAUAUUCGUGUUCGGGGAGAAAAAAUUAGAGAGAAGGAUUCAUCAAGUUUUACGAUACGGAGUCGCCGCCAAGCCCUAAACUCUCUUGGGAGGGCCGAUCUGGAGUCUGUUCGGGGCUCCGAAGAGGGGAAUCCGUCGCCAUCGUCAUCAUCAACCUUCCUCCACCACCAAUUUCAUGAUGCACACCGCCGUGUGUGAGUAAUUCCAUCGUAGGCUUGCUGGACGGUGAUGGCUUGGAUGAGAUUUAUCAUGUAAUCGAGUUAGUUUUGUUAGGGUUUGAUCCCUAGUAUCCAAUAUGUUCUGAGAUUGAUGUUGCUAUGACUUUGCUAUGCUUAAUGCUUGUUAGUAGGGCCCGAGUGCCAUGAUUUCAUAUCUGAACCUAUUAUGUUUUCAUCAAUAUAUGAGAGUUUUUGGUCCUAUCUUGCAAGUCUAUAGUCACCUAUUAUGUGUUAUGAUCCGUUAACCCCAAAGUGACAAUAAUCAGGAUACUUAUCAGUGAUGACCGUAGUUUGAGGAGUUCAUGUAUUCACUAUGUGUUAAUGCUUUGAUCCGGUACUCUAUUAAAAGGAGGCCUUAAUAUCCCUUAGUUUCCAAUAGGACCCCGCUGCCACGAGAGGGUAGGACAAAAGAUGUUAUGCAAGUUCUUUUCCAUAAGCACGUAUGACUAUAUUCGGAAUACAUGCCUACAUUACAUUGAUGAACUGGAACUAGUUUUGUGUCACCCUAGGUUAUGACUGUUACAUGAUCGAUCACAUGUGGCAUAAUUCUCCAUCACCGAUCCAAUGCCUACGAGCUUUUCAUAUAUUGUUCUUCACCCAUUUACUUUUCCGUUGCUACUGUUACCAUCACAAUAAAACCCAAAAAUAUUACUUUUGCUACCGUUACUUUUGCCAUCGUUACCACUACUAUCAUAUUACUUUGCUACUAAAUACCUUGCUGCAGAUAUUAAGUUUCCAGGUGUGGUUGAAUUGACAACUCAACUACUAAUACUUGAGAACAUUCUUUGGCUCCCUUUGUGUCGAAUCAAUAAAUUUGGGUUGAUUACUCUACCCUCGAAAACUGUUGCGAUCCCCUAUACUUGUGGGUUAUCAAGACUAUUUUCUGGCGCCGUUGCCGGGGUUAAUGCUUUGGUCCGGUACUCUACUAAAAGGAGGCCUUAAUAUCCCUUAGUUUCCAAUAGGACCCCGCUACCACAGAGGGUAGGAAAAAAGAUGGCAUGCAAGUUCUUUUCCAUAAGCAUGUAUGACUAUAUUCGGAAUACAUGCCUACAUUACAGUGAUGAACUGGAUCUAGUUCUACGUCACCCUAGGUUAUGACUGUUACAUGAUCGAUCGCAUCUGGUGUAAUUCUCCAUCACCGAUCCAAUGCCUAUGAGCUUUUCAUAUAUUGUUCUUCGCUUAUUUACUUUUCCGUUGCUACUGUUACCAUCACUAUAAAACCCCAAAAAAAAUUACUUUUGCUACCGUUACUUUUGCUAUUGUUACCACUACUAUCGUAUUACUUUGCUACGAAAUACCUUGCUGCAGAUAUUAAGUUUCCAGGUGUGGUUGAAUUGACAACUCAGCUGCUAAUACUUGAGAAUAUUCUUUGGCUCCCCUUGUGUCAAAUCAAUAAAUUUGGGUUGAAUACUCUACCCUCGAAACCUAUUGCGAUCCCCUAUAUUGUGGGUUAUCAACGCUUCGUAUGUCAUGUGCACUGCCUUGUACAUGAUGGUGUUGUACGAUUGAGCCCGUGUGGGCCCCACCAUGAAAAUUUCGGACGAAAUCUCUAUCAUAUGUUUGUUUCCGGCUUAUCCUAUAAGUCAAAUCCUUUGUUUUGUUUUGGUUUGUGGUAUUCGAGUUGCUUCAAAGUCAAGUGUUGAUUCCAUACCUUUCCUAAGCGGUGUUCUCAUAUUUCUAUGUGAAUACUAAUCCUUCUUGAUCGUUGAGAUUGUCAUGUUAAUUCUUUUCUAACUGGUGUGCUCCUCUUCAAGUGGAUCCGAUCAUUUUCAUCAUCCGCAAGAUCAAUUCUAAGUUCUCUCAACGGUGUUUGUUUCAUCCGUCCCAAGUUGCCUUUGUUUUCCCGCCCUCCCACCCUUUUCUUUAAGGAUUCAGAUUUCUUAAUCAUGUAUCCUUUUAUUUGUGGGAAGUCUUUUCAGUCUUUUCUUUCAAUGUUUUACCCGGUGUUUCUUAUGGAGAUGCUAAGGGAGCUUCAAGUUCAUCAUUCUUCGUUCUAUUUCUUCUCCGGUGGAUUCAGUUCAAGCUUUGUCGAUCAUAUCUUUUCCUUGUUUCAAAUGUUUUCUCAUGCCGGUGCACCUCUUAAUCAUCCACUUCUCGCCAUUCAUUGUUCUGGAGUUCUUAAGAUAUCUCAGGAGAUUCGUGUUUUCAUUCCUAAGCCGCUCAAGCUAUCUCAAGGUUGUUAUCUCUUUUAGCCAUUUAAUUUAACCAGCGAAAUCUCUCUUUUAAAUCGUUCAACGAUGUAUCUUUGGAGUGGGCCUUAACCCACAGGCCUUUUCCCAGGAUCUUACCUGACUCUUCUAUUUUUCCAGAGUUAUUUCUCAAAUCUUUUUAAAGUUUGACAUAAGAAUGAAUUAUCAUCAGUCAUAUUCCUUCUCCAAGAUCGUUUCAAAACAUUGUCAUCAUUGGUUCAUCAUUUCUAUUCUUCAUUGUUCCGGGGUGUCUCAUCUUUUUCUGUAGUGUUUCUCGUCGCCAUUCUUGGAUUUUGAAGACCGAAGAAGAGUUUUUCCUCCAAACCUUGGUCCGUUCUCUCGAAGAUGCAUAGUUCAAGCUUGAUGCCAUCCUCUCAUAAUUGUUUUUGAUUGUGAGAAUUCUUUUCACCCAUCUAGACCAAUUCAGGAGUCUUUUCAGUUUGAUUCUUCGGAGCCCAUCAUCUCAGAAUUAUUCAUUCCAGCUUUUAGCUCUCGUUCGCCAAAUCUUACCAGUGCAUCAUUCAAGUAUUCUCUAAUCAGCUCGGGAUCUCUUCGUUCACUUGUAUUUAAAUUCUCUCAAGCAUCUUCGUUCAUUUGCUAAUUCUUCCCAGUGUCUCGCUAUCUUUUCUUUAAUCGUUUUUAAUUCUUACGGUGGUUUGUCCAACAUUCCUCUUCCGUCGUUAUCGUAUCAAUGCAUUCGUGCUUUCCAAAUCCUACCGGUGGAUCAUUGAAGACCUUCUCAAGUUUAUGCUAUAUCUCUCUUAAUCCUUUCUACGAUAACAAGUGGCAUGCCAAUUCUGUUGCUUGUUAUCAAUUUAAGUGGAUGAACGGUAAGCAUAACGUGAUUCUUAUCAUCAAGGUGAUUUAAUUCAUUAUCCCGGAGGCUCGUCAAAAUUCCUGGAUCAAGUGUUUCAUCCUUUUCUUUCCAGAGUCUCAAGCUCUCAAUUAUAUCAUCACGAAGAUCCAUCUAAAUCAUUGCAAGGAUUCACCUUGUGUUUUCAACUUCUCUUUCUUUCUAUCAUCCUUUAUUACCGGAGUUCUUCAUGGAGGCUCUAUAUGGUGACUCAUCAAGGAUUCCUUUCAUUCUUCAUUUGUUCUUCAACAUUUCUCUUGAAGUUAUGAUCCGUCAAGCUAUACACAAAAUUAAACGGGGUGCUCAACACAUGUUUUAUUUUGAGGAGUUCAAGUACUGUUCAUCUUGCAUUCUUAUAUGCAAUUCAUUAUUUAUCUUUCGAGGUGGUGUUAUGUCACUCUUGACAAUUUCCCUUUGUGUGUCAUGAUUCAAUAGUUGUCAAGAACGAGAUAGUUAAUCCCAUCAAUUUCUUCGAGUAUGAGCUCUUCUCAAUCCAUCAAUCUCUUCGUUGGAGUUAUCUUGGGUUAUAUUUCACCUAAAGCCUUCCCUAAGGAAUGUUGCUAUUGUGGUGCUUAUCAAUAUUCCAAGUUUCCUCCUAUUCUCACAAUAAAGAAAUUUUCAUCUCUUCGUUGCUCUCAAGCAAGCAAUUGAUUUCGUUAGUGGCAGAAUUUCACCUUAAAUUUUGGGAUGUUUCCGUUAAGUCCAUAACAAGUUUAUUCUUUUCAAUCUUCAUUUCCCAACAACUCCGUCCAAUCCUCUAUGGAAGGAUACUUUCGAAUUCAUUCAAGGUAGAAGAUGUUGUUUUCUUCUUUGUUACUUUUAGUCCAUUCUAUCUUUUGUUUCGGAGGCAUUGUGAUGUUGCACUCUUUGACCCAUCAUUCCAUUUUCGUCAAAGAUCAUGUUCUUUUCCUUUGCCUAUCCAUUCAACCGGAGUGUCAUGUCCUCCAUUCAAGUUCUCUCAUCUUAUCAAGUUUUGCCUCCCUUCUCAAUUGGAGUGAUGUCUGAAAUCUUUCUUACCCCUUGUGCCAUUCUUUCAAUAGUUCCGGAGGCAGUGUGUUGUUGAUUUCAUCAAGUAUCCUCUCAUCUUGUAAAGUUCAUGUUCAAUCCCUUCCAUUUACAGUCGGAGUCCUGUCCAAAUUAUAUCAUUCUUAUUCCUUCUCUAUCUUGUUUUAACCGGAGUGUUGUGUCUAUCAUUCCUCUUUUAACCGGAGUCUCAUCCAAGCGCUUUCAUUUUGCCAAGUUCAUAUUCUAUGCCUUCCAUUUUCAACCCGAGUGGUUUUAAUUUCUUCCAUGCCCCUUGAGCUCUUGUUUCGCGUGUUUGCAACCUACAAGGUUCUCAUAAUGUUCCUUGUUCCUCUCGUCCCAUGGACUGUUUGCAAUCUUGUUCAUCCUCAAUGGUUUUCUUUCUUUCAAUUUGCUCAACCUCUCAAGGUUCGUGGUUUCACUCUUUUGUCAAGAAGCAACUUAGUUUUACCUCUCCCUCUUCCGCUUCUCUCCGGUGCCAUCCUAAGAUCUCAGGACGAGAUCUCUUGUAAGUGGAGGAGUGUUGUGAUGCCUCGAGACCGACGCUCUAGACGCCUUCAAUGUUUUGCGCGACCGCCGUGUGUUUUAUUUGUUUGUUGCAUUCAUCAUCGCAUCAUCUGCAUUGCAUCAGAACUCCAUUGUCGUCAUUGUAUUCAAACUUGCAUCCCCUCGUAGUUGCCGCGUCCCCCCUUGCUUUCAUUGACCGUUCUGAGACCAACCUUGUUCUUCCUUUUCCCUCUUGCCUAAACCGGAGUCUCUUUGCACAGUGCAUCGACCCCUCGCCCGUGUCCGCAACUUCCCGAACCCGAACUGGACUAUCGUUACCGUUGGGUCCGGAUCAUCCCAAAACAUCCCUAAAUCAUCAUGGUUUCUCGUUGGUCUCUCCUAAGCUAAUUAUUCUUGACUGUCCGAUUAAAAUCGAAGGGACCAAAUGCCCCUAAACUUAGCCCACUUGCUAUAUAUAGAUCAACCAGUAGCCUAUCUUGCAAAAACCCUAAAAUCUAGGGACAUUGUCCCAUCCACUCGUCACCGCCGCCACAUUUCCCACCUCGGGAUCCAUCCCAUCCAAUCAGUGUGUGCGCCCCCGAUCCAAAAAUCCUCUCGAUCUCUCCCCACCAACCAGCGCCUCCCUUGAUCCCCUCAUCCACCUCCUGCAGCCCUAAACGCCCGAGGCCCCAACAGCCCGAGCACCGGCCGGCCAUUGAAGCUCCUCUGCGGCCUCCUUCCUCGCCUGACGUCGCCGGCAACCAGUUGCUCCGCCUCCGGCAUCGUCCCGUUCAUCCCGGCCUCCUCAACACCCGGAGCUCUCCUAGCCGUUCGCCUCCUCCUCAUCCGAGUGGAGCCCCGUCCUCCUGAGCUCUCCCGCAGGCUAGCCCCGACCACCCCAUCUCUACUUCCUCCCUCCCACGGCUCUCUUUUUUUCUGUAAUCUCUCCGUCUCUCGUUCUACAACCAUCGCCAUGGGAGCCAAGCUCCAAGCUCCGCCGCCGGUGCAUCCCACCUCCAACCCGGCGCCAGGAAUGGAACCCCCGCGCUUGGAUCUCGCCGCCGUGUCACCCGACCUUGCCGUCUGUUGGCCUCCCACAACCCUCUGCCGCGCAUGCUGCCGCUGCAAGCUUCCGCCGUCGGCCUUUGUUUGGUCUGCACGAGCAGAUGAGCUCGUCCAUCCCGAGAGUCGUGGUCAUCCCCUGCAUCAAGCCCCACCGCCUCCUCAUGUUUUCCUUCCUCGCCGUCGCCGCGCCAAGUCCUGCUGCUGCCCCGCCGUUGACCUUCAACGCUGCCGGUCUGCCCCUGUCAAGCCGAGAACGAGCAGCAGCAGCUAGCCCGCUCGUCCGCAUUGACCGCGCCUUGCCAACCACGUGGGCUGCAGCCCCACCAGCCUACCUCUCCACUGACCGGGCCAGGCCCAAUGUGAGCAUCCUCCCAGCCCCUUUGACCGUGCACUGUUGGGCCAACUACUUUCGGCCCAACUUCUGUUUUUUUAACGGACGAAUUUAGCUUUUAUCCAGUGUUUUAUUAUUUUGCAGGAAACCCCUCCAUCUUCAUGCAUAUAAUAACUUAAUAACCAUGCAUCUUUCGUAAAAACAUUAUAUAUGUAACUUGCUUAGAAUUUUGCCUAGUUCCAUAAUAUGCCGCUUUCAUCCUUGUUAAAAAUGUUUAAAAUGAUGUUUGUUUAAUUUUGCAUAAAUGGCAUGCUAAAAUGGUUUAUUUCAUAACUAAAUAACCGUAGCUCCAAAUUAAAUGUUUUAUAUAUGUAAUUUGCUUGAAAAAAUGCAUAGAUUAACAUGGUGGCAUUACUUUGCAUAUUUAACAACUCUAAAAUAUGAUUUAGGGCAGAACAGUACCAAAUCCAUAAAUUGCAUAUGAGGUUUUUCCGGAGUUGUUGUUUGUUAUUUCCGGCCUUAUUUAAACUUGCCUAAAUAGUUAGUUUACUUUUGCCACACCUCUUGCCAUGUGAACUAAAUAACCGAAUUUGGUGUUUCGUUGCAUAUUGAGCUCCACUUAACUUGUAGUGUUGUUUGUUGCACUUUGCCAUGCCAUGCCCAUUAAACCGGACAUGCAUUAUAAUUGUUUGUGCAUCAUGCCAUGAUUAUGCUUGUGUCUUUACCAUGUUGCUUGUUUCUUUUUGGUUUGCUUCUCUCGUUAGCUUCAGUUUUGUUCUCGAGUUGUGAAGAUCCGUUCGACUACGUCCGUUUGUCUUCUUCAUGGACUCGUUCUUCUUCCUUGCAGGAUCUCAAGCAAGAUGGCCAUACCCUCGGUAUCACUUCUAUCUUUGCUUGCUAGUUGUUUGCUCUAUCGCUAUGUCGCGCUACCUACCACUUGUUUAUCAUGCCUCCCAUAUUGUCAUGUCAAGCCUCUAACCCACCUUCCUAGCAAAUCGUUGUUUGGCUAUGUUAUCGCUUUUGCUCAGCCCCUCUUAUAGCACUGCUGGUUGCAGGUGAAGUUGAAGUUCGCUCCAUGUUGGAUCAUGUUUAUGUUGGGAUAUCACAAUGUCUCCUAUUUUAAUUAAUGCAUCUAUAUACUUGGUAAAGGGUGGAAGGCUCGGCCUUAUGCCUGGUGUUUUGUUCCACUCUUGCCGCCUUAGUUUCCAUCAUACCGGUAUUAUGUUCCUUGAUUUUGCAUUCCUUACGUGGUUGGGGUUAUGGGACCCCCUUGAUAGUUCACUUUGAAUAAAACUCCUCCAGCAAGGCCCAACGUUGGUUUUAACAUUUGCCACCUAAGCCUUUUCCCUUGGGUUCUGCAGAAUAAAGGGUCAUAUUUAUUUUAACCUCCCCAGGCCAGCAUUCCUUUGAGUAUUGGUCCAAACUAGAGCCCUUUGCAGCGCCACCUCGGGGAAACUUGAGGGCUGGUUUUAGUUGUACGGAUUGCUCAUACGGUGUGCCCUGAGAACAAGAUAUGUGCGGCUCCUAUCGGGAUUUGUCGGCACAUUCGGGCGGUCUUGCUAGUCUUGUUUUACCAUUGCGAAAUGUCUUGUAAUCGGGAUUCCGAGACUGAUUGGGUCUUUUCGGGAGAAGGAAUAUCCUUCGUUGAUCGUGAGAGCUUGUAAUGGGCUAAGUUGGGCACCCCUGCAGGGUAUAAACUUUCGAGAGCCGUGCCCGCGGUUAUGUGGCAGAUGGGAAUUUGUUAAUAUCCGGUUGUAGAGAACUUGACACUUGACUUAAUUAAAAUGCAUCAUCCGCGUGUGUAGCCGUGAUGGUCUCUUUUCGGCGGAGUCCAGGAAGCGAACAUGGUUUGGGUUAUGCUUGAACGCAAGUAGUUCAGGAUCACUUCUUGAUCACUUCUAGCUUAUCACCGUUGCGUAGCUUCUCAUCUUACUCUUAUUUUUGUAUGUUAGCCACCAUAUUUGCUUAGCGCUUGCUGCAGCUCCACCUCAUUACCUUAUCCUACCCAUAAGCUUAAAUAGUCUUGACCUCGCGGGUGUGAGAUUGCUGCGUCCUCGUGCGACGCCCCCGAUUUGACCGUACACUAAUCAUACACGCAAAUGUGUACGAUCAAGAUCAGGGUCUCACGGGAAGAUAUCACAACACAACUCUACAAAUAAAAUAAGUCAUACAAGCAUCAUAUUACAAGCCAGGGGCCUCAAAGGCUCGAAUACAAGAGCUCGAUCAUAGACAAGUCAGCGGAAGCAACAAUAUCUGAGUACAGACAUAAGUUAAACAAGUUUGCCUUAAGAAGGCUAGCACAAACUGGGAUACAGAUCGAAAGAGGCGCAGGACUCCUGCCUGGGAUCCUCCUAAACUACUCCUGGUCGUUGUCAGCGGGCUGCACAUAGUAGUAUAGGCACCUCCAGUGUAGUAGUAGUCGUCGUCGACGGUGGUGUCUGGCUCCUGGUCUCCAAUGUUUGGUCGCAGCAAACGGGUAUAGAAAGGGGGGAAAGAGGGAGCAAAGUAACCGUGAGUACUCAUCUAAAGUACUCGCAAGCAAGGAGCUACACUACAUAUGUAUGCAUUGGUAUCAAAUGGAAGGCUAUCAUAUGUGGACUGAACUGCAGAAUGCCGGAAUAAGAGGGGGAUAGCUAGUCCUAUCGAAGACUGCGCUUCUGGUAACCUCCAUCUUGCACCAGGAGAAAAGAGUAGAUGGUAAGUUCACCAAGUAUCAUCGCAUAGCAUAAUCCUAACCGAUGAUCCUCCCCUCGUCGCCCUGUGAGAGAGCGAUCAUCGGUUGUAUCUGGCACUUGGAAGGGUGUGUUUUAUUAAGUAUCCGAUUCUAGUUGUCAUAAGGUCAAGGUACAACUCCAAGUCGUCAUGUUACCUAAGAUCACAACUAUUCGAAUAGAUUAACUUCCCUGCAGGGGUGCACCACAUAACCCAACACGCUCGAUCCCAUUUGGCCGGACACACUUUCCUGGGUCAUGCCCGGCCUCGGAAGAUCAACACGUCGCAGCCCUACCUAGGCACAACAGAGAGGUCAGCACGCCGGUCUAAAUCCUAUGGCGCAGGGGUCUGAGCCCAUCUCCCAUUACACACCUGCACGUUGCGAGGGCGGCCAGAAGCAGACCUAGCCUAGCAGGCGUUCUAUUCCAAUCCGGCGCACACCGCGCAGUCGCUGACGUCAUGAAGGCUUUGGCUGAUACCACGACAUCGAGUGCCCAUAACUGUCCCUGCGUAGAUGGUUAGUGCGUAUAAGCCAGUAGCCAGACUCAGAUCAAAUACCAAGAUCUAGUUAAACGUGUUAAGUAUCCGCGAACGCCGGCCAGGGCCAGGCCCACCUCUCUCUGAGGUGGUCACAACCUGCCCUGUCGCUCCGCCUCAAAGUAACAGUCGGGGGCCGUCGGGAACUCAGGCCCACCACUACCUGGAUGGAGCCACCUGCCCCUUCAGCCCCCAUCUCUGAACAGUAUGAUAAGUAAUGUAACAGUAUAAGUAUAUAUCAUAUGCCCGUGAUCACCUCCCGAAGUGAUCACGACCCAGUAGUAUAGCAUGGCAGACGGACAAGAGUGUAGGGCCACUGAUGAUAAUCUAGCAUCCUAUACUAAGCAUUUAGGAUUGCAGGUAAGGUAUCAAUAGCUGGAGCAACAAUGACAGGCUAUGCAAUAGAAUAGGAUUAACGAAAAGCAGUAACAUGCUACACUACUCUACUACAAGCAGUAUAGAGGAGAGUAGGCGAUAUCUGGUGAUCAAGGGGGGGUUUGCCUGGUUGCUCUAGCAAUAGAGAGGGGUCGUCAACACCCUAGUCGUACUGGGUAGCAGCGGCGUCGGUCUGGGUGUCUAUCGAGAGAAGACGGGGAAGAAACAAUAAAUAUUAAGAAAACAGAUGCAUAGUGUUGCAUGACAUGACAAGUAUCGGUGCUAGGGGUGCCCUAACGCGGUACGAGGUGGUACCGGUGAAGGGGGAAAACAUCCGGGAAAAUAUCCCCGGUGUUUCACGUUUUCGGACAAACGAACCGGAGAGGAAAGUUGCAUCUUCGCUAUGCUAGGGAUGCGUGGCGGACGAACGGGCUGCAUAUCCGGGUUUGUCUCGUCGUUCUGAACAACUUUCAUGUACAAAGUUUUUCCAUCCGAGCUACGGUUUAUUUUAUAUUGAUUUUAAAAGAUUUAAAUCAUUUUUAGGAUUUAUUUAAUUAUUUAAAUUCAACAUUAUCCAGAAUAGUGUUUGCUGACGUCAGCAUGACGUCAACAUACCGUCAGCAGUCAACAUUGACCGUUGACCUGGUCAACCUGACGUGUGGGUCCAGUGGGACCCGCCUGUCAUUCUCUGCUUAGCCAAAUUAGGGUUUAGGUUAAUUAACUAGGAUUAGUUAGUUGUUUUAGUUUAAUUAAUCAAAAUUAAUUAAGUUAAUUAAUUCUUUAACUAAUCCUCUAAUUAAUUAAUUAAUAAUUUAAUUUAUUAUUUAUUUUAUUUUUUUCAUUUAAUUCCUUUUUUAUAAACCGUUCUGGGGGGCAGGGCCCCACUGUCAGUGGCCCAGAGGGGCCAUAGCGGGUGUGGCUAAUCGGGCGGAGCCGGGCGCAGGCGCUCGGGCGUGGGCGCCCGAAGGGAGACCCAAGGCAUGGCGAGUGUUCGCCGGAGCGUGACCAGGGGGCGGAGGUGGGACGGCGAGCGGCGGCAGCCACUACGGGAACCGCGAGCGGGGCAGGGGCGAAAGCGGACGGGGCGGUGGAGGCGUCCGGAGGUAGCAGCGGGGGAGGCGGCCACGGUGGGCGCGCACGGGGAGGGGCGCGUGCUAGGCGCGGCUAAGGUGGGCGCGCGCGGGAUGUCGGUCCAGUUGCGGCGCGGGGAGAAGGCCGCGGCCACGGGGUAGCAUCGAGUGGACGGCGGGUGCGCGGAGAGGACGAGAGGCCGAGGGCCUCACCGGGGUUGUAGGGGUUCGGGCAGCGGUGCUCGGGGAGAAGGUCGGAGACGACGUUCCGGCGAGGAGGACAUCCGGCAAGGACGACGAGGCGACGGCGAUUCGGGGAAGAUGGUGAGGGGCUCCAGCGGCGCGCUCCUCGUGCGGUGGGGGCGAGGUAGCUCUGGGUGGGGUCCCGCGUCAGNNNNNNNNNNNNNNNNNNNNNNNNNNNNNNNNNNNNNNNNNNNNNNNNNNNNNNNNNNNNNNNNNNNNNNNNNNNNNNNNNNNNNNNNNNNNNNNNNNNNNNNNNNNNNNNNNNNNNNNNNNNNNNNNNNNNNNNNNNNNNNNNNNNNNNNNNNNNNNNNNNNNNNNNNNNNNNNNNNNNNNNNNNNNNNNNNNNNNNNNNNNNNNNNNNNNNNNNNNNNNNNNNNNNNNNNNNNNNNNNNNNNNNNNNNNNNNNNNNNNNNNNNNNNNNNNNNUGGGGGGAGGGGGGGCAGCCUGUUCGGGCGGCUGGGCCGCCAUCUGGGCCAAGGCCCAGUGUGGCCGGGGGUUGGCCUCCUUUCUUUCUUUUGUUGUUGUGUUUUUUUAAUUCUAUUUCUUUUCUAUUUUCCCUUUUUUAGUUUCAUAAAAUUUAGAAACAACAACUAAUUUAGUGCUAUUAAAUAGGUCACGGCCCCAAAUAUUUUGGCACUCUAAAUAAGGUAUUUCACAUUUGCUUUUUAUUCUAAAAGCAUUUUAGAUAAUUGUCUUAUCACUGUUUUCAUUAACUUAGUGCAUUUAAAUAUUUUAUUAAAGAUGAUUUCUUCACCAACAUUUAUUAUGGAUUAUUUGACACAUUAGGAACAAUUUAGUUUUGACUUUUGAAAACUUUAAUUGUUUUGACUUUAAUUCAAAUUUGAAUUUGGAUCGGUUUUGAACUAACGCGAGAUUAUCAACAAUAAUCGAGGUGACGAGGCAUCAUUACCAAAGGGUUAGUGUAGCUUGAUUACCCGGGCGUCGCAAUUCUCCUCCACUACAAGAAAUCUGGUCCCGAGAUUUAAGAGGGGGACUAAGGGGAAAAUUCUGGUUACGAAAUUCUAACGGGUCUUCUCGAUCUUGGUUUCUCUUCUCGAAGAGGUCGAUCCAUUACGUUGAAGUCUUUAUUUCUCUGCUCCAGGUCAUCAUGAUCUAGUUGUCAUCCUUUCUUCGGGAUCUCCAUCAUCCUACGAACGCGACCAAGGGGAAAAACUCUGGAAGAACGCAUCUCCACAAAGCUGGGCAUCUGAUGGUGAACUCAAUGGGGUGAAUUCGCUGAGUGCAAUAUACGAUGGUACCAAAGUUUCAAACAGGUAGGCAAUCGUUCGAUGCCUGAAACGGAGUGUGAAAAGGGGUUCAGAGCAACGAGAAUAAGUAUUGCAUCUAAUACCAAAAUAGAUCACUAGGAAGGUGGCUCACGAAUUAGCCACGAAACCAAGAGCAAGGAAUAACUGUGUCAACAAGGUGUACAAGAGAGUCAGGUUUCGAUCCUGUGGAACUGUGGGUUAUGGGCCCACCAUGUCGGUUAAAAGUAGGAAGGCAGUGGCGCCUGGCACGAUCAUGUAAGUAAGGCAUGUCAGAGGAUAGUCUGUCGGUCAUGUCAGCAACAACAUCUGUACCAAGGGCGAGGGACAAAGAGAACCAUUUUCCUGCUCAUUGAACGAGGCAGACUAGUAGGCAAAGUUCUCAUCCAUCGAUGGUUACUGGAAUUUCAUCAACAAAAGUAACAUGGUCUUUCUGAUAGAGUGGUACAACGAGGUGUUUAUAUAAGCAGGGAAUAUAGAUCACAAGAAGGUUUAAACAAACCAAUGGAAAGGAAAAGUGAUUAUCAGGUUUAAAUAGAACAAUGGAAAGGAAAAUGUGUUUAAACACAUAUUUUGAGGGUAUAUCCUUCCCAAGGACAAGCAAAGCAUGAUAUCCAUGACAAGAUAUAAUGUAGAAAACUCUUAAGGUAAGGUGAGAGAAAUUUCAUGACAUUACCCAUACAAGGGUGUUUGGAUAAGUGAGUAAGAAACAUUUAGCAUUGGGCUUCAAAUGUUCUUUGUUGAAAAUUGGAGUACCACAGACAUGCUUCAAGAUAGCAUUGACAUGGUCAUCAUGUAAGGGUCAGAUUUUGGAUACACAAAGGAUCCAUCAGGAACAACUUAUAGAAUAAGUCUUACAAUUUCCUCAUGGAAGAAUGGUUAACCUUGCUAGAAAGGAAACUAUAACACUAGGUCCUCCGGCUAGGUUUCCUAGGAAUGACACCACCUUACCAGUCAUAUAAAGACCAAUGUUAUAACUCAUGGAAAUAUAUUCCAACCAUCAUAUUGGCAGAGAUCCAGAUCUGAUUGAUGUCAGGAUACCUCAGACUCAGGAUGCCUAAUAAGAAAAAGGUGCAACACAAAUUGACGAGCUGGCAUUUCAAGAUUUUCGGGAAAUGAACUAUGGAAGCAAGUUCCGAAAAAAGAGUUCAUCAUUAAACCAAGGAGAGGAUGAGCAGGUGGUUGAUGGUCUCAGCGACAAUUCAUCGAGAUUUCCAAAAGAAGGAUCUCCAUAAUUAUUUGAACAAGGAGAUAACAUUUAUCAGAUCAAAUGGUAUAAUGAUGUAUGCUCGAGGAAAACAUACACAAUUAAACAUUGGUUGAAAGGUGCAUCCAAAAUAUUGGCUUAGGUAGCAUGAUCAAUGUUAGAAUGGUGAUUCAAUAACCAAUAGUCUAAGGAUGAACUAUUGACCAUUAACUUCAAAGCAAUAGGGUUGCUAGAAGUACAGAAUCCAAACAUCACCGUUCACUUGUUGGUAUCCCGGUUAGAAACAACACGGGGACCAGGAAAAUAAUGGUGAUGGUGAUAAGUAUCACUUGUAUCAAGAAUUUUCGAGAGGUGGUGAAAUUCCCACGACAUUCUUGACUUAAAAGAUGGUAAUACUCCAAGGUAAAGAAGAACAAAUGCUGGAAAGCAAGGAUCUCAAGGUAUACCACAAAUCACAAAUAAGUUUGUGUUCGAGGGAAGGCAGUAAAGUGGUCAAUGAUAACACAAAUCAUCGAGGGCAAGGAUGGUAUUUCUCAUCAUGAAUUUAAUUGAUAUCCUGGAAGAGCUCGGAAGGCUGAUGAUGAUCCGACACAUUAGUCGAGAGAUUUCAUGAAGAUGUAAUCGGUUGGCGAUGCCAUCAAGUCAAAUGAUGAUGAAGCGAAAGGUUAUGGGAACCGAGGGUACGACACAAACUCGAAACCAAGCUUGCUGUUCAAGGCGAAAUGAUAUGAUGAGGAAGAUUGAUGUAAGCUUAGCUCAUUGUCGAAAAUUAUGCUCCGGGAAUAAGGACCAGGUAGCACAGUUAAAAUCAGCACGAUAAUGAUAUAGCUGAUCAAGCUAGGAAUGACUUGAAGGAUUAUUAAACUCAUAAGCAACGAAAAUUACUUAGGGUUACCGAACCGGAAUGCGGAAUCAGUUCACAUAUCAAUGUUCUCGGUUGACAACCCAGAACCCAGGAAAAUUGGAAUCGAUGAGAAAUAACAGUUGAUGAAGAACCCAUAAGAAGUUAGGCCAUUCCAUGAUAUUCUCGAGUUACCAGAGUGUAAUACUCGACGGUAGAUCAAAGUAAAGGUUGGACAGGUGGAGUGAUCUGCAGAAGACAAGUACUUCAACUUGUCCGAGAAAUAGUAUCAAAGAAGAACAAUAUGGUCGGAACCACGAUUGCAAAAGACCAUAUCCUAGAUAUAAGAUGAACUUAUACCAGGGAAUAAUUAAUUUAAGAGAAGCUUCCAUGAUAAGAUCUACAUCGUGUCCAUGGGCAUGAACACAAAGUUCAAGGUCGACUCCCACUUCUUCAAUGUAUAACCUACUAUUCACCUCUCACUUUUCGAAAAUGACAUUAGUUGUUGAAAGUUUUACCUGGUGCAAUACCAGAUAAGUAUGACCCGUGAAAUCUUUCGGGUCCACAUAGAUUAGGUAAGGCGUUGAUUCAACCCAUCGGGGCAUCUUAAGAACAUAUACCACAAACUUCAUAGUAAAUAAUACAAGCUCGAAAGUAGAGUAUGAUUAUCAAAGCAGAGGAUACAAAUUACCAAAGGCAUUAUAUACCCAUGGAAAUGCUUGAUACGUGUCCAACAUAUCUAUAAUUUUUGAUUGCUCCAUGCUAUAUUAUCUACUUUUUUGGACUAUAUUGGGCUUUAUUUUCCACUUUUAUAUUAUUUUUGGGACUAAACUAUUAACCGGAGGCCCAACCCAGAAUUGCUGUUUUUGCCUAUUUCAGUGUUUCGGAUAAACAGAAUAUCAAACGAAGUCCAAACAGAAUAAAAUCUUCGGAAACGUGAUUUUCUCACCAAACGUGAUCCAGGAGACUUGGACCCUACUGCAAGGGAUCAAAGAGGUGGUCACAAGGGUGCCCCCCCUAGGGCGCGCCCCCCUGCCUCGUGGGCCCCUCGGUGCUCCACCGACGUACUCCUUCCUCCUAUAUAUACACACGUACCCCCAAACGAUCAGAACGGGAGCCAAAAACCUAAUUCCGCCACCGCAACUUUCUGUAUCCACGAGAUCCCAUCUUGGGGCCUGUUCCGGAGCUCCGCCGGAAGAGGGUCGUCAUCACGGAGGGCUUCUACAUCAUCCUAGCCCCUCCGAUGAAGUGUGAGUAGUUUACCUCAGACCUUCGGGUCCAUAGUUAGUAGCUAGAUGGCUUCUUCUCUCUCUUUGAAUCUCAAUACAAAGUUCUCCCCCUCUCUUGUGGAGAUCUAUUCGAUGUAAUCUUCUUUUUGCGGUGUGUUUGUUGAGACCGCUGAAUUGUGGGUUUAUGAUCAAGUCUAUCUAUGAAUAAUAUUUGAAUCUUCUCUGAAUUCUUUUAUGCAUGAUUUGUUAUCUUUGCAAGUCUCUUCGAAUUAUCCAUUUGGUUUGGCCAACUAGAUUGGUAGUUCUUGCCAUGGGAGAAGUGCUUAGCUUUGGGUUCGAUCUUGCGGUGUCCUUACCCAGUGACAGAAGGGGCAGCAAGGCACGUAUUGUAUCAUUGCCAUCGAGGAUAACAAGACGGGGUUUAUUUCAUAUUGCAUGAAUUUAUCUCUCUACAUCAUGUCAUCUUGCUUAAAGCGUUACUCUGUUUUUAACUUAAUACUCUAGAUGCAUGCUGGAUAGCGGUCAAUGAGUGGAGUAAUAGUAGUAGAUGCAGAAUCGUUUCGAUCUACUUGUCACGGACGUGAUGCCUAUAUACAUGAUCAUGCCUAGAUAUUCUCAUAAUUAUGCACAAUUCUAUCAAUUGCUCAACAGUAAUUUGUUCACCCACCAUAGAAUACUUAUGCUCUUGAGAGAAGCCACCAGUGAAACCUAUGGCCCCCGGGUCUAUUCUCAUCAUAUCAAUCUCCAUCACUUUUAUAUUGUUUUGCUAUUUACUUUGCUUUUACUUUUUACUUUGCAUCUUUAUAUCAAAAAUACCAAAAAUAUUAUAUCUAUCAGAUCUCACUCUCGUAAGUGACCAUGAAGGGCUUGACAACCCCUAAUCGCGUUGGUUGCGAGUAGCUAUCGCUUUGUGCAGGUACGAGGGACUUGAGCGUGGGCUCCUACUGGAUUGAUACCUUGGUUCUCAAAAACUAAGGAAAUACUUACGCUACUCUUCUGCAUCAUCCCUUCCUCUUCGGGGAAAACCAACGCAAGCUCAAGACGUAGCAAUGCUCACAAGGUUUUUGAAUAUGAAGGAUAUUGUCGGAUAAAAUCCAACAAAGGAUCCGGUGGUCUUCAAUGGGUCUGAUGUGAGCAUCGGUACUCAACCAGAGGAGGAAAGGAUGCAUGGAGAUCAGACUAUACAAACAACUGACUAAUUCCAAGCUGAAAUACAAAUGAAUUAUGACCUUCAAAUCAAGGGAUCAGAAGCAAACACUCUGAUCAAGGAUGGAGAAGUUGAGUAGGCUUAGGGGUACAAUCAAUGGCAAUUAGGUUGGUCGAGAUCUAGCUUAAGUUUAAAAUAACGUCUGAGCCAGAAGGGUGAACUCUGGCUUGGAUUGAUGAUUGUGAGCAUUCGCAAAGAUAUUGAAUCAAAGACUCAAAAUGACGGCGACAAAGGAUGCUCAUGAAUAUUGCUAGACAUAUGGAAAGUAACCAUAAUGCAAGCAGACAAGUAUUUGCAGAGCAAUAAUUGGCAAUGGAUUAUCGAAAAACCGGAUAGUAUUUCAAAGUAUCUUGUGGAUCACAUGAUCAACUAUGAAUGAAAAAAUCCUCGAUGAGUGUGAGGAAUUAUACGUAGAUGUAUUAAAGUGAAAUGGAGCUGCAGGCAGCAGGCAUAAUGGAUUCUCGAAAUAUUGGAAUGUUUCAGGGUAUCUUGUAAUAACAAGAGCAAUUGGGGAUGAAGGUAUGAACGAAAAAUGCAGGUAGUUAUCCAUAAUGAUUUAUCGGUGGUAGGGAUUGCAACGGCAAAGGCACAAGGGUCUCGGGAAAACAUCAGAGAGUAUCUUCAGAAUCUUCUGGCGUAGCAGGCGAUCAUCUAUAAUAAGGGGCUCUCCGGGAGGAAGUAGUUACGAGAACCUAGAGUCAUAGUUAGUAAAAUCAUUUAACCCGAAUAGAAAAUAUAUCAGAGACCCAGAUUAAAGAUCGAGGAAUAGAAGAUCCUAAUACCACCCAAUGGCAAUGUGGGCCCGUAAGACACACAGCCAUGUUAGUAAAAGUUUGCAAUGACUAGACUCGACUUUGGCCAAGGAGUUUGGAAGGGGGAUUCCUACAGGCAGUCGACUCUGAUACCAACUUGUGACGCCCCCGAUUUGACCGUACACUAAUCAUACACGCAAAUGUGUACGAUCAAGAUCAGGGUCUCACGGGAAGAUAUCACAACACAACUCUACAAAUAAAAUAAGUCAUACAAGCAUCAUAUUACAAGCCAUGGGCCUCGAAGGCUCGAAUACAAGAGCUCGAUCAUAGACGAGUUAGCGGAAGCAACAAUAUCUGAGUACAGACAUAAGUUAAACAAGUUUGCCUUAAGAAGCCUAGCACAAACUGGGAUACAGACCGAAAGAGGCGUAGGCCUCCUGCCUGGGAUCCUCCUAAACUACUCCUGGUCGUCGUCAGCGGGCUGCACAUAGUAGUAGGCACCUCCAGUGUAGUAGUAGUCGUCGUCGACGGUGGUGUCUGACUCCUGGGAUCCAACGUCUGGUCGCAGCAAACGGGUAUAGAAAGGGGGGAAAGAGGGAGCAAAGCAACCGUGAGUACUCAUCCAAAGUACUCGCAAGCAAGGAGCUACACUACAUAUGUAUGCAUUGGUAUCAAAUGGAAAAGGCUAUCAUAUGUGGACUGAACUGCAGAAUGCCAGAAUAAGAGGGGGGUAGCUAGUCCUAUCAAAGACUACACUUCUGGUAACCUCCAUCUUGCAGCAGGAGAAAAGAGUAGAUGGUAAGUUCACCAAGUAUCAUCGCAUAGCAUAAUCCUAACCGAUGAUCCUCCCCUCGUCGCCCUGUGAGAGAGCGAUCAUCGGUUGUAUCUGGCACUUGGAAGGGUGUGUUUUAUUAAGUAUCCGAUUCUAGUUGUCAUAAGGUCAAGGUACAACUCCAAGUCGUCAUGUUACCUAAGAUCACAACUAUUCGAAUAGAUUAACUUCCCUGCAGGGGUGCACCACAUAACCCAACACGCUCGAUCCCAUUUGGCCGGACACACUUUCCUGGGUCAUGCCCGGCCUCGGAAGAUCAACACGUCGCAGCCCUACCUAGGCACAACAGAGAGGUCAGCACGCCGGUCUAAAUCCUAUGGCGCAGGGGUCUAGGCCCGUCACCCAUUGCAUACCUACAUGUUGCGAGGGCGACCAGAAGCAGACCUAGCCUAGAAGGCAUUUCAGUCCAAUCCGGCGUGCACCGCUCAGUCGCUGACGUCACGAAGGCUUCGGCUGAUACCACGACAUCGAGUGCCCAUAACUGUCCCUGCCUAGAUGGUUAGUGCGUAUCGGCCAGUAGCCAGACUCAAAUCAAAUACCAAGAUCUCGUUAAACGUCUUAAGUAUCCGCGAACGCCGACCAGGGCCAGGCCCACCUCUCUCCUAGGUGGUCACAACCUGCCCUGUCGCUCUGCCUCAAAGUAACAGUCGGGGGCCGUCGGGAACUUAGGCCCACCACUACCUGGAUGGAGCCACCUGCCCCUUCAGCCCCCAUCUCCAAACAGUAUCAUAAGUAAUGUAACAUUAUAAGUAUAUAUCAUAUGCCCGUGAUCACCUCCCGAAGUGAUCACGGCCCAGUAGUAUAGCAUGGCAGACGGACAAGAGUGUAGGGCCACUGAUGAUAAUCUAGCAUCCUAUACUAAGAAUUUAGGAUUGCAGGUAAGGUAUCAACAGCUGGAGCAACAAUGACAGGCUAUGCAACAGAAUAGGAUUAAUGGAAAGCAGUAACAUGCUACACUACUCUAAUGCAAGCAGUAUAGAGGAGAGUAGGCGAUAUCUGGUGAUCAAGGGGGGGCUUGCCUGGUUGCUCUGGCAAGAGAGAGGGGUCGUCAACACCGUAGUCAUACUGGGUAGCAGCGGCGUCGGUCUCGGUGUCUAUAGAGAGAAGAGGGGGAAGAAACAAUAAAUAUUAAGCCAACAGAUGCAUUGUGAUGCAUGACAUGACAAUUAUCGGUGCUAGGGGUGCCCUAACGUGGUACGAGGUGGUACCGGUGAAGGGGGAAAACAUCCGGGAAAAUAUCCCCGGUGUUUCGCAUUUUCGGACAGACGAACCGGAGGGGGAAAGUUGCAUGUUCGCUAUUCUAGGGAUGCGUGGCGGACAAACGGGAUGCGUAUCCGGGUUUGUCUCGUUGUUCUGAACAACUUUCAUGUACAAAGUUUUUCCAUCCGAGCUACGGUUUAUUUUAUAUUGAUUUUAAAAGAUUUAAAUCAUUUUUAGGAUUUAUUUAAUUAUUUAAAUUCAACAUUAUCCAGAAUAGCGAUUGCUGACGUCAGCAUGACGUUAACAUGAUGUCAGCAGUCAACGUUGACCGUUGACCUGGUCAACCUAACGUGUGGGUCUAGUGGGACCCGCGUGUCAUUCUCUGCUUAGCCAAAUUAGGGUUUAGGUUAAUUAACUAGGAUUAAUUAGUUGUUUUAGUUUAAUUAAUCAAAAGUAAUUAAGUUAAUUAGUUCUUUAACUAAUCCUCUAAUUAAUUAAUUAAUUUACUUAAUAAUUUUAUUUAUUAUUUAUUUUAUUUUUUUCAUUUAAUUCCUUUUUUUAUAAACCGUUCUGGGGGCGGGGCCCCCCUGCCAGUGGCCCAGAGGGGCCAUAGCGGGUGUGGCUAAUCGGGCGGAGCCGGGCGCACGCGCUCGGGCGUGGGCGCCUGAAGGGAGACCCAAGGCACGGCGAGUGUUCGCCGGAGCGUGUCCAGGGGGCAGAGGUGGGACGGCGAGUGGCAGCAGCCACUGCGGGAACCGCGAGCGGGGCAGGGGCGAAAGCGGACGGGGCAGUGGAGGCGUCCGGAGGCAGCAGCGGGGGAGGCGGCCACGGUGGGCGCGCACGGGGAGGGGCGCGUGCUAGGCUCGGCCACGGUGGGCGCGCGCGGAACGCCGGUCCAGUCGCGGCGCGGGGAGAAGGCCGCGGCCACGGGGUAGCAUCGGGCGGACGGCGGGUGCGGGGAGAGGACGAGAGGCUGAGGGUCUCACUGGGGUUGUAGGGGUUCGGGCAGUGGUGCUCGGGGAGGAGGUCGGAGACGACGUUCCAGCGAGGAGGAGAUCCGGCAAGGACGACGAGGCGACGGCGAUNNNNNNNNNNGGGCGGUGGCCGCUGUGACCGGCGACGGGCAGGGCUGGCGGGGCGGGACACGAGGGUACAGAGGGCGGCGACGCUCGAGGAUCCAGGGGCGCGGGCUCGCACGCCGGGGCACGUGCCAGGGUGCGCGGAGCACCGACCAGCGCGGGCAGGGGAGUGAGCGCGGCGGCUGCGGGUGCGUGCGCACAGGUGCAUGAGCACGAGCACGGGCGCGAGGGGGGGGAGGGGAGUCGGGGCUCACUGCGAGGAGUAGGGACGUGGCAGCGGUGCUUGGGGAGGACAACAACGACGACGUGCGUAGGGGGAGGCAGACCGACGUGGACGACGAGGCGACGGCAAUUCGGGGAAGAUGGUGAGGGGCUCCGGCGGCGCGGUCCUCGUGCGGCGGGGGCGAGGUAGCUCCGGGCGGGGUCCCGCGUCGGCGUGGUCGUGGAUGGGCGGCGGGGCGCCGGUGGGGCGACAGGAGGGGCCCGGCUCCGCGAGGGAGGUGACAGCGACUCCGAGGCGGCGAUGGGGCGAUGGGAUCGGGGGGUUGCCCCGAUCUAGAUCGGGGAAGGGCGAGAGGGAGGAGUGGGACGAGGGGGAGGGAGUGGGUGCGAGUGGGGGGAUCGGGGGGGGAGCAGUGGGGGUUAGGGUUUCGGUCAGUGGACCGAGGGGGGUUAAGUGGUGGGGGGAGGGGGGGCGGCCUGUUCGGCGGCUGGGCCGCCAUCUGGGCCAAGGCCCAGUGUGGCCGGGGGUUGGCCUCCUUUCUUUCUUUUUUUGUUGUGUUUUUUUAAUUCUAUUUCUUUUCUAUUUUCCCUUUUUUAGUUUCAUAAAAUUUAGAAACAACAACUAAUUUAGUGCUAUUAAAUAGGUCACGGCCCCAAAUACUUUGGCACUCUAAAUAAGGUAUUUCACAUUUUCUUUUUAUUCUAAAAGCAUUUUAGAUAAUUGUCUUAUCACUGUUUUAAUUAACUUAGUGCAUUUAAAUAUUUUAUUAAAGAUGAUUUCUUCACCAACAUUUAUUAUGGAUUAUUUGACACAUUAGGAACAAUUUAGUUUUGACUUUUGAAAACUUUAAUUGUUUUGACUUUAAUUCAAAUUUGAAUUUGGAUCGGUUCUGAACUAACGCGAGAUUAUCAACAAUAAUUGAGGUGACGUGGCAUCAUUACCAGAGGGUUACUGUAGCUUGAUUACCCGGGCGUCACACCUCGUGACUCAUAGAUACUUCCAAAUAGUUGCAGGUGCCACUAAUACCAGUGCAGGUGACGCAACUGAGCUCAAGUGCGAGUUCGACGAGGACCUUGGUCAUUACUAUGUUUCGUUUCCUGAUGAUCAGUAGUGGUGCCCAGUUGGGACGGUCGGGGACCUAGCAUUUCGGGUUGUCUUCUUUUAUUUUGGUUCCGUAGUCUGACCUUGAUUGUACUCUGGAUGAUGUAUGUUUAACUUGUUAUUUGUGUGAAGUGGCGAUUGUAAGCCAACUCUUUAU
rnacentral:lncRNA from 1 species